GGGUCAGUAGGUUGGUCGUGCCACCGGUACGUACUGGUCUCACUGAUUCCUCCUUCCUGAAGAACCGUAAUGCCAUUAAUUUGGUGUUGCGGGGAAACAGGACUGUUACUUUGAAAAAAUUAGAGUGUUUAAAGCAAGCUAACGCUUGAAUACAUUAGCAUGGCAUAAUGAAAUAGGACGAUCGAUCCUAUUUUGUUGGUUUCUAGGAUUGACGUA
rnacentral:rRNA from 1 species